GAUGAACGCUGGCGGCGUGCUUAACACAUGCAAGUCGAACGGUGAAGGCGGAGCUUGCUCUGCUGGAUCAGUGGCGAACGGGUGAGUAACACGUGAGCAAUCUGCCCCUGACUCUGGGAUAAGCGCUGGAAACGGCGUCUAAUACUGGAUACGAGCUGCGAAGGCAUCUUCAGCAGCUGGAAAGAACUUCGGUCAGGGAUGAGCUCGCGGCCUAUCAGCUUGUUGGUGAGGUAACGGCUCACCAAGGCGUCGACGGGUAGCCGGCCUGAGAGGGUGACCGGCCACACUGGGACUGAGACACGGCCCAGACGCCUACGGGAGGCAGCAGUGGGGAAUAUUGCACAAUGGGCGAAAGCCUGAUGCAGCAACGCCGCGUGAGGGACGACGGCCUUCGGGUUGUAAACCUCUUUUAGCAGGGAAGAAGCGAAAGUGACGGUACCUGCAGAAAAAGCGCCGGCUAACUACGUG
rnacentral:rRNA from 1 species